AUACGGAGGAUCCGAGCGUUAUCCGGAUUUAUUGGGUUUAAAGGGUGCGCAGGCGGCCAUUUAAGUCAGCGGUUAAAUCGUGGGGCUCAACCCCAUUCUGCCGUUGAUACUGGGUGGCUUGAUUGCGGUCGAGGUUGGCGGAAUUCGUUGUGUAGCGGUGAAAUACAUAGAUAUGACGAAGAACACCGAUUGCGUAGGCAGCUGACCAGACCGCAAAUGACGCUCAUGCACGAAAGUGCGGGGAUCGAACAGGAUUAGAUACCCUGGUAGUCCGCACAGUAAACGAUGAAUACUUGUUUUCGGCGAUAUAAUGUCGGAGGCAAAGCGAAAGCGAUAAGUAUUCCACCUGGGGAGUACGCCGGCAACAGUGAAACUCAAAUGAAUUGACGGGG
rnacentral:rRNA from 1 species